rnacentral:rRNA from 1 species
AUACGUAGGGGGCGAGCGUUGCUCGGAUUUACUGGGCGUAAAGGGGGCGUAGGCGGCCCUGCAAGUCGGCGGUGAAAUCCCUCGGCUCAACCGAGGAAUUGCCUCCGAAACUGCAGGGCUUGAGGGCAGGAGAGGGGGGCGGAAUUCCCGGUGUAGCGGUGAAAUGCGUAGAUCUCGGGAGGAACACCGGAGGCGAAGGCGGCUCCCUGGACUGUCCCUGACGCUGAGGCCCGAAAGCCAGGGGAGCAAACGGGAUUAGAAACCCUAGUAGUCC